AACGAACGCUUGCUGCAUGCUUUAUACAUGCAAGUCGAACGGAGGCCCUAGCUUGCUAGGUGUCCUUAGUGGCGCACGGGUAAGUAACACGUGGGAACAUACCUCAUAGUACGGAAUAACUGCGGGAAACUGUAGCUAAUACCGUAUAUUCCAGCAAUGGGAAAGAUUUAUCGCUAUGAGAUUGGCCCGCGCAAGAUUAGUUUGUUGGUAAGGUAAUGGCUUACCAAGGCUACGAUCUUUAGCUGGUUUGAGAGGAUGAUCAGCCACACUGGGACUGAGACACGGCCCAGACUCCUACGGGAGGCAGCAGUAGGGAAUAUUGGACAAUGGGGGCAACCCUGAUCCAGCAAUGCAGCGUGAGUGACGAAGGCCUUAGGGUUGUAAAACUCUUUCAUCGGUGAGGAUAAUGACAGUAGCCGAAGAAGAAGGACCGGCUAAUUCCGUGCC
rnacentral:rRNA from 1 species